rnacentral:tRNA from 1 species
GGGGAUAUAGCUCAGUUGGUAGAGUGCUUGCCUCAGGUGCACAAGGCCCUGGGUUCAAUACCCAGCACCCCCC